UACGUAGGGUGCGAGCGUUAAUCGGAAUUACUGGGCGUAAAGCGUGCGCAGGCGGUUCUCCAAGUCCGUUGUGAAAGCCCCGGGCUCAACCUGGGAAUGGCAGUGGAAACUAGGGGACUGGAAUCUGGCAGAGGGGGGUGGAAUGCCGCGUGUAGCAGUGAAAUGCAUAGAUAUGACCCGGAACACCGAUUGCGAAGGCAGCCCACUAAGCAAUGAUUGACGCUGAGGCACGAAAGCGUGGGGAUCAAACAGG
rnacentral:rRNA from 1 species